AUUGAACGCUGGCGGCAUGCCUUACACAUGCAAGUCGAACGGCAGCACGGGAGCAAUCCUGGUGGCGAGUGGCGAACGGGUGAGUAAUAUAUCGGAACGUGCCCAGUCGUGGGGAUAACGUAGCGAAAGCUACGCUAAUACCGCAUACGAUCUAUGGAUGAAAGCGGGGGAUCGCAAGACCUCGCGCGAUUGGAGCGGCCGAUAUCAGAUUAGGUAGUUGGUGAGGUAAAGGCUCACCAAGCCGACGAUCUGUAGCUGGUCUGAGAGGACGACCAGCCACACGUGGGACUGAGACACGGCCCAGACUCCGUACGGGAGGCAGCA
rnacentral:rRNA from 1 species